rnacentral:siRNA from 1 species
UCAAAGCUUUCAUGGUGUAGCCAA